UACGUAGGGCGCAAGCGUUGUCCGGAAUUAUUGGGCGUAAAGAGCUCGUAGGCGGCUUGUCACGUCGGUUGUGAAAGCCCGGGGCUUAACCCCGGGUCUGCAGUCGAUACGGGCAGGCUAGAGUGUGGUAGGGGAGAUCGGAAUUCCUGGUGUAGCGGUGAAAUGCGCAGAUAUCAGGAGGAACACCGGUGGCGAAGGCGGGACUCUGGGCCGAUACUGACGCUGAGGAGCGAAAGCGUGGGGAGCAAACAGG
rnacentral:rRNA from 1 species